UAGGGGUUGGCGGUGGAGGUGAGGGUAUCUUACUGGAGAUCCCUGCAUACCUGAGGUCCUCUAAGGGGGCUGUUUUCACUUCACUGGUGCUAUGACCCGUGACUGCUUCCCUGCUAAGUUAACAAUGAUGUGAGAACAGAAAUGAGGGACUGAUGCAAAAGACACUGGCCUUCUGGCAUUUUCGGCUGUUUUCCACCCACCCUUGAAAAUCCUCUCGGGCCCCAAAUGGAUCUGUGAGCUGUACCACAUGCUCGGAAUGAAGUGCUAAUUAAAUACUUCUACUUAAUGUAGACAACACUUCUCUGAGAAGAAGCUAAUGUGCUACAGAUGCCAUGCAUUCCCAUAGGGAUGGAGGAAGUGAGCAGUGCUGGUACCUCGUCCCGCUCUGGGAGGCGGAGAUGUAACCUGGGCAGCUCAUGGCUGUGCCCAAAAUCUGCAAGCAAAACUGAGUGGAAGGGUGUGGAGAGCGAUGUCUGAUCCUACAGCGCUGCUCCUGCCCUAGCACUCCUGCACGCCACGCAGUUACAGCUCAGCUGGCUCCAUCCCUGCUGCAGCUUUCCCAUUUCCAGGUUCCUGCAGGCAGAGAUUGUUCUCUCCCGCCCUGAAGACAACCAGCCACUCAAGCAGCCUGUCUGCCCCUGAAGGAGCUUGUAGUGGUGAUGCAGAAAAGGAGGGGAAAAAAAGAGGUACUCUUCCCCCAAAGAACAAGAAGCGCUCUUCAUCCUGAUGGGACAGCAGGAACCCUCUGGCUGCACAACUGCCACGAGGGCUGUGGAGCAGCCCAGGCGGUACCAGUUUGGACUGAUGCUCUGCUGGAACGUGCCAACAACGAGCGGCUGCUGGGAGAGCUGAAACUGCUGCUUUUUUCUGUUCACAUCUGCAUCUGAUUUUCAAUCAAGACUCAGCUGGUGAAAAGCCAACUAAUCUACAGCGCUUGGGUUUUUAUUUUUGUUUUCAGGGGCUGGUUUGAGCCAAGUUUAGUACCACAGAACUAGUUUCUAACAGAGCUCAAUUUCUUUGAAUUACAAGUACUUUUGGAUACCGAUUAUUUUAAAUGGAUCUUGUGGGAAAAUUACUAUUGGCCGUUAUUUGUCUGUGUUAGUGCCUCGUGUAUGACUCCCUCGCUGGGCCUGGUGCCGGACAGCACAGCCACACAGUGGGCCUGGAGCUGGGCCUGGUGCCGGCGGUGCAGCGCUGGGUGCCCCGGGUAUGUGUGCCACAGCAUGAUCACCAAAGUGAGUUCUGUGAGAGCGCUUUGCGCAGGUUGUGCAUGAAGCAUCAGGCAGUUUAUGUGGGUAUUGUGUCCUCCUCCACUUGCUGCCGUUGUGCUGGAGAUACGGGGAAAAUCAUUGUUUAAUUGGAGACUUUAAGGGAACUCGAAAGGGAUCCAUCUGUGAUUCCCCCAUCUGAGUCUCUGGGGGCAAAUAUGGUGCAAAAAAGAUGAAAAAUUCCUGGAGAUUUCAGGCAAUCUUUUCUGUGAAUGGCAGCUGGACUCAUGGUGACUCUGUCUGCUGAGGGCCUUCUGCUCGCUGUCCUUGGUUUAUGAGGGCUCCAUUUUACAUGCGGCACACUUCUAGUAGAACUGUUAGCUGAUUGCACAGUUUCUGCUGCUAGAAGGUUCUGAACUAACAGACCUUUGCAACUGCAGCUUCCUCUUAACAUGGGGAAAUGGUUGGGGCGUGGCUGGAUGAGUAAGAGAGCAAAUUGCACCUACUGUCUAAGAAUAGCCACAAGAGGUGCAGGCAACCAACGUAGUGCCAUGAGAGCCCUGUGAGCCUUCGCCGCACUCCUCAGUGGUGCAGCAGCCACGUGUCCGUGUGUGCCAGCGCUGGCAGGGAGCUCACAGGGCCGGAGCAGCCCCGCAUCUGCAGUGCUGCCAUCCCUCUGCCUUCCCCAGGGCGUGCUGCUACAUUUGCCGUGCACGACACCCCAUGACACCCGGCUCUAGUGGAAGAUGAGCAAUUGUUGCUUUUGAAUUGAAGUUUCUUUCCCUCCACCGUGCUUGGCCUUCCAAAAAUGGGCUGCUGCUUUUUUUUUUUUUUUUUUAAUCCUGGAAGGAAGGAAAAGUGCUGAACUUCUGUUUACCUCAUUUUGUUUGAACAGAGCCCUGUGUGUUAACCCUCUUCCGCACAAUGAAACUCUGUACAAGUGAAAAUUGGCUGAGUGGGUCCUUAUUCAGGAUCAUUCAUCGCCACGGUAUGGCCCCAUGCAAAUAUGGCAGAUUUACAUCGGUAAAACUGAGGAACAAAAACAAAAGGCCCAUGAUGUGAAGGAAGGGCCGAUGUUAUUUAUGAAGUGCCGGGAAUGAGCUGAAGACGAGAUGAAGACCCAGUGGCCCGGCCCCUUCCUGUGGAGGCAGGGUGACAAGCAGCUCAGGGCCCCAGUGAGCAUCUGCACCCCGGUGCUCCUCUUCUGGGGGGGCAUGCCUAUGGAGACUUGAGUGAGUUCAUACCAUAUGACUACUUUAAGAAACAGCGUUAAAGGAAAUAGUCAUAUUUGGUGAUGUUGGCCCAUGACAUCAGAGGCAGAUGCUGGUGGUGUGGCAGUAGGGGUUGAAAUGUCCCAUUGCAUUCAUUGAUGACUGCUGAACGUUUAUGGAGACCAAGCAGUGGAUGUUGGCGCGGUGAGGCCGUGGUGGUGCGUUUCAGCAGUGGUGACACUGACAGUGCUCACCUCUGCUGGGGCAGAUGGUUACGA